UACGGAGGGUGCAAGCGUUAUCCGGAUUCACUGGGUUUAAAGGGUGCGUAGGUGGGCAGGAAAGUCAGUGGUGAAAUCUCCGGGCUUAACCCGGAAACUGCCGUUGAUACUAUUUGUCUUGAAUAUUGUGGAGGUAAGCGGAAUAUGUCAUGUAGCGGUGGAAUGCUUAGAUAUGACAUAGAACACCAAUUGCGAAGGCAGCUUACUACACAAUGAUUGACGCUGAGGCACGAAAGCGUGGGGAUCAAACAGG
rnacentral:rRNA from 1 species